rnacentral:rRNA from 1 species
AUUGAACGCUGGCGGCAGGCCUAACACAUGCAAGUCGAGCGGAUGAGGGAAGCUUGCUUCCUGAUUUAGCGGCGGACGGGUGAGUAAUGCCUAGGAAUCUGCCUAUUAGUGGGGGAUAACGUUCCGAAAGGAACGCUAAUACCGCAUACGUCCUACGGGAGAAAGUGGGGGAUCUUCGGACCUCACGCUAAUAGAUGAGCCUAGGUCGGAUUAGCUAGUUGGUGAGGUAACGGCUCACCAAGGCGACGAUCCGUAGCUGGUCUGAGAGGAUGAGCAGCCAAACUGGAACUGAGACACGGUCCAGACUCCUACGGGAGGAAGCAGUGGGGAAUAUUGGACAAUGGGCGAAAGCCUGAUCCAGCCAUGCCGCGUGUGUGAAGAAGGUCUUCGGAUUGUAAAGCACUUUAAGUUGGGAGGAAGGGCUGUAAGCUAAUAUCUUGCAGCUUUGACGUUACCAACAGAAUAAGCACCGGCUAACUCUGUGCCAGCCGCCGCCGUAAAAC